GACAGAGGUGCCGAGCGUUAGGCGGAAUCACUGGGCUUAAAGCGUGUGUAGGCGGGCGGGCAAGUACCUUGUGAAAUCCCACGGCUCAACCGUGGAACGGCUGGGUAUACUGCCUGUCUUGAGCCAACUAGGGGCGAGCGGAACAGACGGUGGAGCGGUGAAAUGCGUAGAGAUGUGGAGGAACACCAGUGGCGAAGGCGGCUUUUUGGUCUGUAACUGACGCUGAGGCGCGAAAGCGUGGGGAGCAAACAGG
rnacentral:rRNA from 1 species